ACGAACGCUGGCGGCGUGCUUAACACCUGCAAGUCGAACGGAAAGGCCCUGCUUUUGUGGGGUGCUCGAGUGGCGAACGGGUGAGUAACACGUGAGUAACCUGCCCUUGACUUUGGGAUAACUUCAGGAAACUGGGGCUAAUACCGGAUAGGAGCUCCUGCUGCAUGGUGGGGGUUGGAAAGUUUCGGCGGUUGGGGAUGGACUCGCGGCUUAUCAGCUUGUUGGUGGGGUAGUGGCUUACCAAGGCUUUGACGGGUAGCCGGCCUGAGAGGGUGACCGGCCACAUUGGGACUGAGAUACGGCCCAGACUCCUACGGGAGGCAGCAGUGGGGAAUAUUGCACAAUGGGCGGAAGCCUGAUGCAGCAACGCCGCGUGCGGGAUGACGGCCUCGGGUUGUAAACCGCUUUCGCCUGUGACGAAGCGUGAGUGACGGUAAUGGGUAAAGAAGCACCGGCUAACUACGUG
rnacentral:rRNA from 1 species